GUUGAAGCUUUGUCAUUCAGCACAAGAAAUUUUCAAGAUUCUUUAGAUGCUUUACAUGGAGUAAACUGGAAGUUACCUCCCAUGGGAGUUAAUUCACCUUUCCACUACUCAAUUUUUGCCCUUCUUCAUGAUGACUCACCAUGGUAGAACGUUUUCCCAAGGGAUGUUUGUCUAGAAG